rnacentral:lncRNA from 1 species
CACUUUUCUCUCUCAUUUCACUCUCGUUCCAUUUUCCAAAACCCUACCACUCAAUCACCGCCAUGGCCGCCUCCAAUUCGAUUCGCCUCCGUCGCACCCUCAGGGCUAUCUCCUCCCUCCACCGCUCCUUCUCCUCUUCAGCCGCCACCUCUGCGCCACCAAUUUCCCUCGCCAUUCGCCGCGUCCUUCCCUCAGCUCCUCCAGCCCCAGCACCAGCACCUUGGCUGUCCCGUUCAUUCAGGUCGUCGUCCAUAUCGCUUUGGUCGAACAUAUCAUCGUCGGCGUCCAACAUCCCCGACGAAAUGACCCCGACGAUAUACUGUUCGAGGGCUGCGACUGCCACCACUGGCUCUUCGGCAUGGACUUCCCCGGAGACAACAAACCCUCCCCCGAAGAAAUGGUCUCGGCAUCAGGUUCGACUUACCCCGAUUUCCCAAGACAGAGCCUCCCCAUAAACACGUCUAACAAAUACAAUACACAUUUCAUUUAGAAAACGUACAUUUACACAAUCAAAAUUAGAGAUGGGUAUUUGUGGCCUUUCUUCUUCUUCUUCUUUUUUAGUUUGUAACUUUGUAUUAUUAUUAUUUUGACUUAUUAUCUAUUAUGAGUUGUGACUAAAUCAAAGAAAAAAUAAUUACCCAAUUCUUAUAUGAAAAAUAUGGCCAAAAUGUUAAAAUUAAAAUUUUGAUAUUGAAAGAAAUUGUUGAACUGCCAGCUUUCUUAGACCAUAAAACUAUAUUUUGUCAUAAAUAUAUUUCAUGUUGUCACUCAUGCAAAUUUAUGUAUUUAAAUAAUAUUUUAAAAUAAUUUGCAAAUCAUAAUACUUUUAUUUUACAUGAAUAAUUUAAUCAUUUCUAUUCACAUCUUUAGUUAUUCUUGAAACUGGUUUUCUUUUCAUCGUGCGAGUGAAAAACUGAAAAUUAAAAAAUCAAAAUUUGGAGGUCUAAUACAACAUGUAUAAUUAGGAAUUUAUUUAUUCGAUCUUCGAUCAUUUUACUCAUCUGUCCACGUAUGCACCUAUAAUGCCAGGUCAUUAGAACAGGACUCAUGUCAAAUUUUUUUAUUGGGUCUAACGGAAAUAUUUAGACGGAAGGACUCAUCCAUCCAAAUUAAAUAUAUUUUCAAAUUGUUUGUGAAAAAAAAUAAAAAACUUAUCUAUCCUUUUAUUAAAAAAAAAGAAACACACCAAAAUUUACAUAUAAUUAAAAAACACUACUAUAAACCUAAUAUCAAAAUUAAAAAAUCCCCAGGCCGAGCUAGGUAUUUACCACUAAUUCACUAAACAGUACACACACAAAUUGGUUAAAUCCUCACUCGCACUUUUCUCUCUCAUUUCACUCUCGUUCCAUUUUCCAAAACCCUACCACUCAAUCACCGCCAUGGCCGCCUCCAAUUCGAUUCGCCUCCGUCGCACCCUCAGGGCUAUCUCCUCCCUCCACCGCUCCUUCUCCUCUUCAGCCGCCACCUCUGCGCCACCAAUUUCCCUCGCCAUUCGCCGCGUCCUUCCCUCAGCUCCUCCAGCCCCAGCACCAGCACCUUGGCUGUCCCGUUCAUUCAGGUCGUCGUCCAUAUCGCUUUGGUCGAACAUAUCAUCGUCGGCGUCCAACAUCCCCGACGAAAUGAC